CAGAGGUCACAAGCGUUAUCCGGAUUUAUUGGGCGUAAAGCGUUUCGUAGGUGGGUUCAUAAGUUAUUUUUCAAAGACCGAGGCUCAACCUCGGGAAGGGAGAUAAUACUGUGAGUCUUGAAAUAUGGUGGGGCAUCUGGAACUGAUGGUGUAGUAGUGAAAUACGUUGAUAUCAUCAGGAACUCCAAGGGCGAAGGCAGGAUGCUAAUCAUUUUUUGACACUGAGGAACGACAGCUAGGGGAGCGAAAGGGAUUAGAGACCCCUGUAGUCCUAGCCGUAAACUAUGCUCGCUAGGGAUGCGCCGCAAGGUGCCGUCCCGUGAGCUAACGCGUUAAGCGAGCCGCCUGGGGAGUACGACCGCAAGGUUA
rnacentral:rRNA from 1 species